rnacentral:rRNA from 1 species
UACGGAGGGCGCAAGCGUUGUUCAGAAUCACUGGGCGUAAAGCGCGUGUAGGCGGUUCGGCAAGUCGGCUGUGAAAGCCCGAGGCUCAACCUCGGAACUGCAGCCGAAACUGCCGGGCUCGAGUCCCGGAGAGGGUGGCGGAAUUUCAGGUGUAGAGGUGAAAUUCGUAGAUAUCGGAAGGAACGCCAGAGGCGAAGGCGGCCGCCUGGACGGUGACUGACGCUGAGACGCGAAAGCGUGGGGAGCAAACAGG